CCCCAAGGGACAUUUUCAUGCUUGUGUUGCUCCCCAACUCUUUUUACAUUUGAAUGUGGCUCACGGGUAAAAAAGUUUGGGGAUCCCUGUCCUAGAGUGAUGCAGGGAAUCCCACUCAGACUCUGUUCAUUGUGCAAAGCUGUUGUUACUUGUAAGUGGAAGAAAAUAUAUAGAUCUUGUGUAAAACACUACAUGGGAUUGUACAUGUAAUGACUGUAUUCCUUUAUUUCCCAUGCUCCUUUGGUGAUUGCAGACAGUAUAAAGGACUUCCACCUGUCAAACCAGAUAAAGUAAACAUGAAAACCCUCAGCAGAUUGGCCUUCAAGCUUCUGGAGCUAUAUAACCUCGACCCAGGUUAUGAUAUAACACUUUAAUAAUCCACAAGAGAAAAAUUAAUUCAUGACUUUACAUACUUUAAACUGGGAUAUCACCCUGCUUAGACUGGUCUGCCCUUGGCUGCUCUCUUUCCCAUGGUCAGGCAGAAACCUCUCCCUGGGUAUGUGAAACAAAUCUCCUGGUUUCCUCUCACACUCCAAAUACAAAUGAUUGGCGCCUGGUAAAAUUGGCCCUAGUUAUACCGUAUGUGAAUAUGAUAGGGCCCUUAGAUUGUAAACACCACUGGGAUAGGGACUGAUGUAUAAUCUCUGUACAUUGAUGUGCAAUAUGAGGGUGAUAUAGAGACUAAUAAAAAUAAUAUGUAGAUCCUAUAUAUCUGAAAUGUAUUUUCUAUAUAUAUCGGGUUUAUUCCUAAUGUUUCCCUGACAGUUUUGUGUUCAAACCUGCUAAACCAGCGGCAUCUGGGAAUUCUGAAAUAUCUCAUAUACAAGAGGUUUGUGCAGAAAUCAAUGACCCAUGGAAACUGGACUGAUCACAUGCAGGCUGUCGGAGAAUGAAAAUGUUCCUGAUGAUCCCCAGACCAGGAAGGAACACUUUUACCAGCUCCCUAUUCCCAGGGACAAGGUUCACUUCCUUCGCAGCGCUGAUGACCUGUCACUCUGCAGGGAACAUGUCUUGAAGGUAACGAAGGCUGCGGGAAGAUAUGUUAUCAAUUAAACUAUGGAAUCAUUUAAAACCACCCAAACUGAUCAAAAUUAAAUUUUGCUAAUAUUGCUCCUCUUCUGAAAUG